UAGUGAGUUUGAUCCUGGCUCAGAACGAACGCUGGCGGCAGGCUUAACACAUGCAAGUCGAGCGGGCCCUUCGGGGUCAGCGGCGGACGGGUUAGUAACGCGUGGGAACGUGCCCUUUUGCUCUGGAAUAGCCCUGGGAAACUGGGGGUAAUACCGGAUGUGACCUGAGGGGGAAAGAUUUAUCGGCAAGGGAUCGGCCCGCGUCUGAUUAGGUAGUUGGUGGGUAACGGCCACCAAGCCGACGAUCGGUAGCUGGUUUGAGAGGAUGAUCAGCAACACGUGGGACUGAGACACGGCCCAGACUCC
rnacentral:rRNA from 1 species